rnacentral:rRNA from 1 species
GCUCAAAUUUGAAAUCUUCAAGGUUUUACCUUGACGAAUUGUAGUUUAAAGAAGUGUUUUCUGUUGGUGUUUUGGUAAAAGUUCUUUGGAAUAGGACAUCAUAGAGGGUGAGAAUCCCGUAUUUGACCAUUACUUCCAGCGUUGUGAUACACUUUCAAAGAGUCGGAUUGUUUGGGAAUGCAGUCCAAAAUGGGUGGUAAAUUUCAUCUAAAGCUAAAUGUUGGCGAGAGACCGAUAGCGAACAAGUACCGUGAGGGAAAGAUGAAAAGAACUUUGAAAAGAGAGUUAAACAGUACGUGAAAUUGUCAAAAGGGAAGCGUUUGACACCAGUGUUGUUUUCUCGAAAAUCAAUUAAAAAUGGUUGGAUUUUGUAUUGUUAAGACCUUAUCAGCUUACUGUACUCUUUUCCUGCCUUUUUUAAUGCACUUUUCGGUUAACAAG